CCCGGGCUUUUGAUACGCUUG
rnacentral:siRNA from 1 species